rnacentral:rRNA from 1 species
UGUGCCUGGAAUAAAA